rnacentral:rRNA from 1 species
UUCAGACGAUGCGUCAUGCAUAUCAAUAAGCGGAGGAAAAGAAACUAACAAGGAUUCCCUCAGUAACGGCGAGUGAAGCGGGAAGAGCUCAAAUUUGAAAUCUUGAAAGGUCACCUUUCACGAAUUGUAGUUUAAAGAAGUGUUUUCUGUUACGAUCGUAAUAUAAGUUCUUUGGAAUAGGACAUCACAGAGGGUGAGAAUCCCGUCUAUGAUUGCGAUUUGUAGCUUUGUGAUACACUUUCAAAGAGUCGGGUUGUUUGGGAAUGCAGCCCAAAACGGGAGGUAAAUUUCUUCUAAGGCUAAAUAUUGGCGAGAGACCGAUAGCGAACAAGUACCGUGAGGGAAAGAUGAAAAGAACUUUGAAAAGAGAGUUAAAUAGUACGUGAAAUUGUCAAAAGGGAAGCGUUUAACACCAGUGUUGUUUUCUGAAAAUCAACCUCUGUUAGCUUUAUGCAUGUUUGUUUAGACCUAAUCAGCUAUCUUGCAUGUUCUAUUGUUUGCAGUGGUGCACUUUUCAGUUUACAGGUCAACAUCAGUUUUUUUUACCGUAAAAAAGUUAAAGAAAGGUAGCUCAUGGCUCCGGUCGUGAGUGUUAUAGUCUUUUUCCUAUGCGGUAGGAGAGACUGAGGUCUGCAGUGUAGGCUAUUUGGCUAGAUACUCAGGUGCUAUGUGAUACCAUCUCAUAAACAACUUGUUGAUUAUGUUUUGUCUAUUGCAUACUCGCUUGUACUAUCAUACCUACGCUUAGGAUGUUGAAGACUCUACAGAGAUA